rnacentral:rRNA from 1 species
CUUGGCAAACCAUAAGAGGUCCAGCCUGCCCAGUGACUCUGUUCAACGGCCGCGGUAUCCUAACCGUGCGAAGGUAGCGUAAUCACUUGUUCUUUAAAUGAGGACUAGUAUGAACGGCACCACGAGGGUUACACUGUCUCCUCCCUCUAAUCAGUGAAACUAAUCCCCCCGUGAAGAAGCGGGGAUAAAACUAUAAGACGAGAAGACCCUAUGGAGCUUUAAACACAGUAACAAUUGCCCUGACUUCCCCCCCCCCUCCGGGGACAAUUAUUAAUCCAGGCACCUUGAUUACAAGUUUUAGGUUGGGGUGACCGCGGAGCAAAAAAUAACCUCCACAGUGAAAGGGGGUCUUUCCCCUAAACCCCGGGCCACAGCCCUAAGAAUCAAUAAUUUGACACCCGUUGACCCAAUAUUUUUUGACCAACGAAC